rnacentral:tRNA from 1 species
AGCUCGGUGGCUGAGUUAGGCGAGAGUUUUUUAAUCUCUUUACGGAGGAAUCCUCGGGCGA